UUCCCAGACUCCUACGGGAGGCAGCAGUGGGGGAUAUUGCACAAUGGGGGGAACCCUGAUGCAGCGACGCCGCGUGAGUGAAGAAGUAUUUCGGUAUGUAAAGCUCUAUCAGCAGGGAAGAAAAUGACGGUACCUGAUUAAGAAGCCCCGGCUAACUACGUGCCAGCAGCCGCGGUAAUACGUAGGGGGCAAGCGUUAUCCGGAUUUACUGGGUGUAAAGGGAGCGCAGGCGGCGCGGCAAGUCAGAUGUGAAAGCCCGGGGCUCAACCCCGGGACUGCAUUUGAAACUGCCGUGCUGGAGUGUCGGAGAGGCAAGUGGAAUUCCUAGUGUAGCGGUGAAAUGCGUAGAUAUUAGGAGGAACACCAGUGGCGAAGGCGGCUUGCUGGACGAUAACUGACGCUGAGGCUCGAAAGCGUGGGGAGCAAACAGGAUUAGAUACCCUCGUAA
rnacentral:rRNA from 1 species